CGCUGGCGGCAUGCCUAACACAUGCAAGUCGAACGGCAGCACAGUGGUAGCAAUACCAUGGGUGGCGAGUGGCGGACGGGUGAGUAAUGCAUCGGGACCUACCCAGACGUGGGGGAUAACAUAGGGAAACUUACGCUAAUACCGCAUACGUCCUACGGGAGAAAGCGGGGGAUCUUCGGACCUCGCGCGGUUGGACGGACCGACGUUCGAUUAGCUAGUUGGUAGGGUAAUGGCCUACCAAGGCGACGAUCGAUAGCUGGUCUGAGAGGAUGAUCAGCCACACUGGAACUGAGGCACGGUCCAGACUCCUACGGGAGGCAGCAGUGGGGAAUAUUGGACAAUGGGCGCAAGCCUGAUCCAGCAAUGCCGCGUGUGUGAAGAAGGCCUUCGGGUUGUAAAGCACUUUUAUCGGGAGCGAAAUACCUUGGGUUAAUAACCCGUGGGGCUGACGGUACCCGAGGAAUAAGCACCGGCUAACUUCGUGCCAGCAGCCGCGGUAAUACGAAGGGUGCAAGCGUUAAUCGGAAUUACUGGGCGUAAAGGGUGCGUAGGCGGUUUGUUAAGUCUGUCGUGAAAUCCCCGGGCUCAACCUGGGAAUGGCGAUGGAUACUGGCAAGCUAGAGUGUGUCAGAGGAUGGUGGAAUUUCCGGUGUAGCGGUGAAAUGCGUAGAGAUCGGAAGGAACAUCAGUGGCGAAGGCGGCCAUCUGGGACAACACUGACGCUGAAGCACGAAAGCGUGGGGAGCAAACAGGAUUAGAUACCCUGGUAGUCCACGCCCUAAACGAUGCGAACUGGAUGUUGGUCUCAACUCGGAGAUCAGUGUCGAAGCAGGCU
rnacentral:rRNA from 1 species